rnacentral:lncRNA from 1 species
AAUGUCUGGCACAAGAGGGGGCUUCCAGGAACUUGCUGCAACAAAAGUUCUGAGGAUUCAGAAACAAGGAGGCCCCACUCGCUGCCCCUGGAUGCUUCCAGCCCAGAAGGCACGAAGAUGAAGACAUGCCCAACUGCAGUACCCUGUGGUCAAUGCUACAUAGGAGCCCAGGAGUGCCAGAGAGAGAGAGAGAGAGAGGCCUGCUCCAGCCAUGCAGGAGACCAGCACAGACCCAUCAGUGAAGCCUGUUCUCAACAAAUGCUUGUAAAUGACUCACUCCUACUGGGGUCUAGAGGACGAUGGAUCCCAGAUCAAGUUGCUUGUUGCCUCAUUUGUCAAGUUCUGCCUGUACAUCGGCUGUUCUUCCUUACGAUAAAUCUGAAGAUCAGAAACACGGCGGAACAACAAGCACGCAGGACAAGUCCAUCCUGCCCAUAACACCCUAGAGCAGGCUCAAAGC